GACGAACGCUGGCGGCGUGCUUAACACAUGCAAGUCGAGCGGUAAGGCUCCUUCGGGAGUACACGAGCGGCGAACGGGCGAGUGAGACGUGAGUAAUUUGCCUUUCACUUCGGGAUAACCAACGGAAACGGAGGCUAAUACCGAAUACGACCAGGCUUCGGAUGAGGGGCGGGGGGAAAGACUUUUCGGCGGAGGGUGAGCUCGGCGCCUAUCAGCUUGUUGGUGGGGUAAUGGCCUAUCAAGGCGUCGACGGGUGGCCGGCCUGGGAGGCGGGCCGGCCACACUGGGACUGAGACCCGUCCCAGACUCCUACGGGAGGCACCAGUGGCAAAUGUUGGACAUUGGGCGAAAUCCUGAUCCAGCAACGCCGCGUGCGGGGUGACGGCCUUCGGGUUGUACACCUCUUUCAGUGCCGACGAAGCGCCCUGUCGGGUGGUGACGGUAGUUACAGAAGAAGGACCGGCCAACUACGUG
rnacentral:rRNA from 1 species